CUUUCUUUGUCAUAUUUUCCCUGUCUUCGGUCAUAGAUGAAAUGCAGGAUUGUUUUUUUUUCCUUUACAAUAAUCUGUACUGCACACCUAUAGAAUACAGAUACCAAUCUAUUAUUAAAAUUCAUUGCCAAGUAUUCAAUUUUGAACAGAACUUUCUCCUGUUGACUAUCUUAGUAGCUAAAAAAAAAAAUUAUCAGAUUUAAAUCCAGUAACUGGUAUGAUACUUAUGAUACAUCUUCUAUUUGUUUAAGCAGCAUAACCUAAUGUCAAGUAAAAAGAAAAGUAUAGCUGGUUUUUGGGAAAAUCAUAAAUAAUUUUUAAAAUUUAGUCUAUAAAUUUUUUAAGAAGUAUAUAUAUUCUUUUGGAAAUCAUUUAGAAACCCUUGUAUCUCCUAAUAAGUUAAGUGAGAUUAUGUGUGGGUCAAGACAGUCUGAAAAGGGCGUAUGUGUGAAUAUAUGUGUAUCUAUGAUUGCAUAUGUGUCUCUGGGGAGGAGUGUGUCUGUGUGUGUGGAGUGUGUGUCUAUGUAUCUGGGUGCCUGUGGAUGUGGAGAGGACAGAGCAUGGGGAAAAACCAUACUCCUACAAAUUCGUCCCCUCCAUUUGGUAUCAGUUCAACAUGAUAAAUGCAAAGAUGAAAAGAAUAUGGAGAAUGUCUUGUUAAUGGUAACACCUGGUUCAGGAAGAAAACAUGGAGCCAAAAGCCUUUAUUCCUAAUUCCUCUUUCCCGCAGCUGCCAGUUGGGUGUGUCUUGCUAAUAGUUUUAGUACAUUUCAUGAGUGCAUAACAAAGUGUAAUUUUUUAAAGUAGAAAAGCAGUUGCUGGUGAGUCUACUGAAAUGGUUUAUUUUACAACUAUUUCUACAUUCAGGAACUUAUAUAAAUAUUUAAUCCAACCACUACAUAUUUGCUUGCUUCCUCAACCACAUUCCUUUACACAUGGGUAGACCCUGGCUCUGCAUGCCAGCCAAUAAGCAUAAUUUAUCUCAUUUGUUCUGCAUCACUACUCUUUACAAUAGGUGUCUUGCCUCCAUUGACCACUGUAGAAAGGAAACUCGAUAGUUAAGGAAUUUGCUCUAGGCCAUUCAGCUAGGAAGUUGUUGAAUCUGAUACAGAUUCAUUAGCCUGCACAGCCCAUAAUUUCCCACUCCUGUAGUGCUUCUCCAGUCUCUCUUUGAUCCUUUCUUUCCUAUUCUCUUUACCCUUUGACUGAUAAACUUGAUGACUUGAACUAUAUGUUGAUUCCUGAUAACAAUUUUAAUAUGUAGCAUUUAAUGGUCAAUAUUUUCAACAAAAUGGAAGGAUUAUUAGUAAAACUUGGGUUCAAAUUCUUCCUCCCCUGAGCCCAGAGACGAAUGAGUGAAUCUUCCUUCUAUUUCAGAAGAAGCUCUCAAACAAUCACUUAGCUAACUUGUCUGUUGCAGCUCUGCAGAAGAACAACUCCAUGUCUGUAUCAAGUUUGUUAAUCCUGUGUUAGGCAGGACUCUGCCUGUUGUUUGGAUAUAUUCCACCUUCAGAUGCUCCAUGUUGAGGCCCAUGUUUUUGCAUUAUCUAAAUAGCAUUAAGAGAAGAAUCACUAAGCCAUCUCCAGAGUCCUAUCUGAGAAGAGUUGAGAAAUGGUGGUACUCUCUGGGUCACUAUAGGUGUUCCUAAUCUAUGCUUUUAUCUUGGCUUCUCUAGCAAUCUGAAGAAGAUCUCUAGCUUCAUUCAUAGCUUGGUGAUGGUAUUCAUGAAUAGGAAUGCUUGUUGCAUUUAAAUUUAAUUUAAAACCAUUGUAUUGUGAUGCUGAUAAAACACUGAACAAGAUUAGUAUCCUGGAUAACAUUGGGUUUACUAUGCUUUGGUAAAUGGAUAAUAAUUGGGUUGCUUGUAGCCUUUUUUUUUUUUUUUUGAGACAGUGUCUUGCUCUGUUGCCCAGACUGAAGUGCAAUGGUGUGAUCUCAGCUCACUGCAACCUCUGCCUCCCAGGUUCAAGAGAUUCUCCCACUUCAGCCUCCUGAGUAGCUGGGAUUAUAGGUAUGGGCCACCACCCCUGGCUAAUUUUUGUAUUUUUAGUAGAGAUGGAGUUACGCCAUGUUGGCCAGGCUGGUCUCGAACCCCUGACCUCAGGUGAUCUACCAUCCUUGGCCUCCCAAAGUGCUGGAAUUACAGGCGUGAGCCACCACACCCAGCUGCUUCUUGCCAUUUUUCUCCACCCAGCUAAGAGGUUAGUGUUCAUGAAUGAUCGCUUCAGCUCCUUAUCUCCACUUGCAGCUUUUCAUAUUACCUAAGACAGCAAAUUUACAGCUUGAUCUAAUCUCUUUGUUUGUUUGUUUGUUUUGUUUUGUUUUGUUUUGAGACAGGAUCUUGCUCUGUCACCCAUGCUCACUGAAACCUUUGCCUCCUGGCUCAAGCAAUCCUCCCACCUCAGCCUCCCAAGUAGCUAGGACUACAAGCAUGCACUACCAUGCCUGGCUAACUUUUUUUUUUUUUGUAUUUUUAGUAGAGAUGGGGUUUCACCAUGUUGCUCAGGCUGGUCUCGAACUCCUGGGCUCCAGUGAUACUCCCACCUUGCCCUCCCAAAAUGCUGGGAUUACAGGCAUGAGCCACUGCACCUGCCUUUACUACUCUUAAACCUCUUUAGAACUAUCUCUGCAUCCUUGACGUUAGCCUGUAGCCUAGUCAUAGC
rnacentral:lncRNA from 10 species